UACAGAGGUCUCAAGCGUUGUUCGGAUUCAUUGGGCGUAAAGGGCGCGUAGGCGGCGGGGUCAGUCGGGUGUGAAAUCUUGGGGCUUAACCCCGAAACGGCACUCGAAACUGCCCGGCUGGAGGGCCGGAGAGGAGAUCGGAAUUCACGGUGUAGCAGUGAAAUGCGUAGAGAUCGUGAGGAAGACCCGUGGCGAAGGCGGAUCUCUGGACGGCUAACUGACGCUGAGUCGCGAAGGCCAGGGGAGCAAACGGG
rnacentral:rRNA from 1 species